rnacentral:sRNA from 1 species
UUUUAGCCCCGAUUGCAGUGAAAAUCCCAUUCUUUUUAGAAUGGAUUGUAACGUAAAGCGGGAAAUAGC